rnacentral:rRNA from 1 species
CCCGCACAAGCGGUGGAGCAUGUGGUUUAAUCGAAGCAACGCGAAGAACCUUACCAGGCCUGACAUGCAGAGAACUUUCCAGAGAUGGAUUGGUGCCUUCGGGAACUCUGACACAGGUGCUGCAUGGCUGUCGUCAGCUCGUGUCGUGAGAUGUUGGGUUAAGUCCCGUAACGAGCGCAACCCUUGUCCUUAGUUACCAGCACGUUAUGGUGGGCACUCUAAGGAGACUGCCGGUGACAAACCGGAGGAAGGUGGGGAUGACGUCAAGUCCUCAUGGCCUUUAUGACCAGGGCUACACACGUACUACAAUGGCCGAUACAAAGGGCAGCGACACUGCGAGGUGAAGCCAAUCCCGUAAAAUCGGUCUCAGUCCGGAUUGGAGUCUGCAACUCGACUCCAUGAAGUUGGAAUCGCUAGUAAUCGUGGAUCAGCAUGCCACGGUGAAUACGUUCCCGGGCCUU